rnacentral:misc_RNA from 1 species
GAUGAAGAACGCAGCGAAAUGCGAUACUUGGUGUGAAUUGCACAAUCCCGUGAACCAUCGAGUCUUUGAACGCAAGUUGCGCCUCAAGCCAUUAGGUUGAGGGCACGUCUGCCUGGGCGUCACAUAUCGUUGCCUGAUGCCAGUUUCCUCGUGAUGGGUGACUGUGCAGGGCGAAUGAUGGCUUCCCGUGAGCAUUGUUGCCUCAUGGUUGGUUGAAAAUUGAGUCCUUGGUAGGGAGCGCCGUGAUAGAUGGUGGUUGAGUGACGAACGAGACCCAAUCAUGUGAGACCCCUACCGAAUUUGGCCUUCAUGACCCACAUGCGUCUUUGGAACGCUCAUGACGAGACCUCAGGUCAGGCGGGGCUACCCGCUGAGUUUAAGCAUAUCAAUAAGCGGAGGA